CUCUAACAUGCUAGUUCACUUUGU
rnacentral:siRNA from 1 species